rnacentral:rRNA from 1 species
CCUACGGGAGGCAGCAGUGAGGAAUAUUGGUCAAUGGCCGAGAGGCUGAACCAGCCAAGUCGCGUGAGGGAAGAAUGUCCUAUGGAUUGUAAACCUCUUUUGUCAGGGAGCAAAGUCACCCACGUGUGGGUGUUGGAGAGUACCUGACGAAAAAGAAUCGGCUAACUCCGUUCCAACAGCCGCGGUAAUACGGGGGAUGCAGGCGUAAUCCGGAUUGAUUGGGUUGAAAGGUUGCGUAGGCGGGUUAUCAAGUCAGCGGUAAAAUCGUGGAGCUCAACUCCAUCCAGCAGUUGAAACUGAUGGUCUUGAGUGGGGGAGAGGGAGGUGGAAUGCGUGGUGUAGCGGUGAAAUGCAUAGAGAUCACGCAGAACUCCGAUUGCGAAGGCAGCAUACCGGAGCCCGACUGACGCUGAAGCACGGAAGCGUGGGUAUCGAACAGGAUUAGAUACCCGAGUAGUC